UACAGAGGGUGCAAGCGUUAAUCGGAAUUACUGGGCGUAAAGCGUGCGUAGACGGUUGCGUAAGUCAGAUGUGAAAGCCCCGGGCUCAACCUGGGAAUUGCAUUUGAGACUGCGUAGCUAGGGUGCGGAAGAGGGAAGCGGAAUUUCCGGUGUAGCGGUGAAAUGCGUAGAUAUCGGAAGGAACACCAGUGGCGAAGGCGACUUCCUGGCCUGUUCUUGACGCUGAGGCGCGAAAGCUAGGGGAGCAAACGGG
rnacentral:rRNA from 1 species